CACCAGCGCCACGAGUGGCGUUCACGAUUAUUGGGCCUAAAGCGUCCGUAGUCGGCUGAGUGCAUCUUCUGUGAAAUCGUUGCGCUUAACGUAACGGCAUGCGGAAGACCCGACUCAGCUAGAGACCGGAAGGCGUCGAGGGUACUCCGGGGGGACCGGUAAAAUGGUAUAAUCCCCGGAAGACCACCUGUGGCGAAGGCGCUCGACGAGUACGGAUCUGACGAUGAGGGACGAAAGCCAGGGGAGCAAACCGG
rnacentral:rRNA from 1 species